rnacentral:rRNA from 1 species
AGAGUUUGAUCCUGGCUCAUAACGAACGCUGGCGGCAUGCCUAACACAUGCAAGUCGAACGAGCUCUUCGGAGCUAGUGGCGCACGGGUGCGUAACGCGUGGGAAUCUGCCCUUGGGUUCGGAAUAACCAGGAGAAAUCCUGGCUAAUACCGGAUGAUGACUUCGGUCCAAAGAUUUAUCGCCCAGGGAUGAGCCCGCGUAGGAUUAGCUUGUUGGUGAGGUAAAGGCUCACCAAGGCGACGAUCCUUAGCUGGUCUGAGAGGAUGAUCAGCCACACUGGGACUGAGACACGGCCCAGACUCCUACGGGAGGCAGCAGUGGGGAAUAUUGGACAAUGGGCGAAAGCCUGAUCCAGCAAUGCCGCGUGAGUGAUGAAGGCCUUAGGGUUGUAAAGCUCUUUUACCCGGGAUGAUAAUGACAGUACCGGGAGAAUAAGCCCCGGCUAACUCCGUGCCAGCAGCCGCGGUAAUACGGAGGGGGCUAGCGUUGUUCGGAAUUACUGGGCGUAUAGCGCACGUAGGCGGCUUUGUAAGUUAGAGGUGAAAGCCCAGGGCUCAACCCUGGAAUUGCCUUUAAGACUGCAUCGCUUGAACAUCGGAGAGGUGAGUGGAAUUCCGAGUGUAGAGGUGAAAUUCGUACAUAUUCAGGAAGAACACGAGUGGCGAAGGCGACUCACUGGACGAUUGUUGACGCUGAGGUGCGAAAGCGUGGGGAGCAAACAAGAUUAUAUACCCCCGUACUCC